rnacentral:rRNA from 1 species
UACGAAGGGGGCUAACGUUGUUCGGAUUUACUGGGCGUAAAGGGCGCGUAGGCGGAUUUUUAAGUCGGGGGUGAAAUCCCGGAGCUCAACACCGGAACUGCUUUCGAUACUGAAAGUCUGGAGCACGGUAGAGGUGAGUGGAAUUCCGAGUGUAGAGGUGAAAUUCGUAGAUAUUCGGAGGAACACCAGUGGCGAAGGCGGCUCACUGGACCGUUGCUGACGCUGAGGCGCGAAAGCGUGGGGAGCAAACAGG